AACGUGUAACGAAUCCUCUGACAGAGCAUUCUCCGAACACAACAGGAUAUGAUGUUACAGUGUGUCCAAAGCUCUUAUUACUCUUUGUGCACAGGAUUAAGAUCCACACAAUGACUACAUAAAAGCACGGAUGAGACGAGUUGGUGAAGGCAAAAGUACUCAGGUUACACAUUACACACAUGAUUAGGCUUCAGGCACACUCUGGGUAACUACAAUAAUUCACUACAAUAACACCAACUGAAUUAUGAAGCUUUCCGAAGGUUUUAAGGUGUUUCAGAUGGUUCCCAGGGUGUAGCUACGUAUGCAGUUCUGAGUGCUUUAUAAGGCAAUAAUUGAUGGUUGCUUACUGGUCCAAGUCUGUAUAAUAUGUUUGUUUCUCCUUCAAGGUAAAUCUAUUGGAUUUCUUCCCAAGUUUUAUCAUACGCCAAACAUAUAUUGUAAAUUUCAUGACUUGAGCACAGUUUUUGUCAACAAGUAGCAUGAUGUAUCUGUUGCAUAAAUGGUGCACACCAAAGUUUAUUAUGUCAGAUUAGGGGUUGGUUUAAAUUUCUACCUUUAACCUUGGGAGUGAGAAACGCAGAGUAACAGAGAGCAGCAAUGCUUGGCAUCCAGCAGACAAAAGGGUGGGACUGGCAGGAAAAGCAAUGAUGAGUAAAGCUCAAGUUCUCCUUUAUGAGCCCCUCGUCUAACAACCGCAUUUGAUUACAGUAAGGCUCAGAGUUGAGGAACUUUUUUCAGGAUUACUGCCAGUUUCCUCCAGCACACACACACACACACACACACAGAGUGGGCUGAGACUAUAAUGAGAGCGGUAUGAAGGGAUGAUGUUGAAGACUGGCCGAGCCAGUCAGGGAUAAACAGUGGGGAGUUUCCUUCAGAUUCUACGAUCUGCUCUUCUGGUUUGUCUCUGUUCGGCAGUUUGUUCUGCUUUGAUCCUGGAGAAGCUAAAAGAGGCUAUAAAAAGAUACAAUUGAUUCUUAACUGAGAACUCCUGUUUGUCUCUUGAGCAACAUUUGAGCAAUAGGACUGUCCUCCAGGACCCUAAACCCUUCUGUUCAAAUUUGUGCCUAAUAACCUCGCUGGACCCCACAACUAUCCUCCUGGCAUGGAUCGCUGGACAUUUCAGAAGAGCAAGGAAUAUUAGGACUGGAGAAUUACAGUCCUUCUUUGGAGUUUGUGAGGCUUAUGGAUUCCACCUCACGCCAGACUGCACUUUAUUUUGCAAGAAUUUGAUGCGGUCUGUUUGCCCCAUCCUUGUUUCAUGUGGCAGCAACCCUUUACACUUCCUUCCCCACAUACUGUAAAGCAAAUUACUUAAUUUAGUGAUAUGAGAAACAUCAGACAGAGACAAAAGCCAAAUGGAGGACGUCAUAGGAAAUGGGUUUUAAUAAAACAUCCUUCAAAGGCA
ensembl:lncRNA